GGCGAAGAGAAGGGGGGCCACUGCGGUGAGCCUUGAAGCCUAGGGCGCGGGCCGGGGUGGAGCUGCCGCAAGUGCAGAUCUUAGUGGUAGUAGCAAAUAAUUCAA